UACGUAGGGACCGAGCGUUGUCCGGAAUCAUUGGGCGUAAAGAGCGUGUAGGCGGCCACUUAAGUCCUGCGUGAAAUCCUGCGGCUCAACCGCAGGCGGUCGUGGGAAACUGGGUGGCUAGAGUGCGGGAGAGGAGAGUGGAAUUCCUGGUGUAGCGGUGGAAUGCGCAGAUAUCAGGAAGAACACCCGUGGCGAAGGCGGCUCUCUGGAACGCAACUGACGCUGAGACGCGAAAAGCGUGGGGAGCAAACAGG
rnacentral:rRNA from 1 species